CGCGUAGGCGGUCUCUUAAGUCAGAUGUGAAAGCCCGGGGCUUAACCUCGGAAGUGCAUUUGAAACUAAGGGACUUGAGUAUGGGAGAGGGAAGUGGAAUUCCUGGUGUAGCGGUGAAAUGCGUAGAUAUCAGGAGGAACACCGGUGGCGAAAGCGACUUCCUGGACCAAUACUGACGCUGAGGCGCGAAGGCGUGGGGAGCAAACAGGAUUAGAUACCCUGGUAGUCC
rnacentral:rRNA from 1 species